rnacentral:rRNA from 1 species
GAACUUUCCAGAGAUGGAUUGGUGCCUUCGGGAACUGUGAGACAGGUGCUGCAUGGCUGUCGUCAGCUCGUGUUGUGAAAUGUUGGGUUAAGUCCCGCAACGAGCGCAACCCUUAUCCUUUGUUGCCAGCGGUCCGGCCGGGAACUCAAAGGAGACUGCCAGUGAUAAACUGGAGGAAGGUGGGGAUGACGUCAAGUCAUCAUGGCCCUUACGACCAGGGCUACACACGUGCUACAAUGGCGCAUACAAAGAGAAGCGACCUCGCGAGAGCAAGCGGACCUCAUAAAGUGCGUCGUAGUCCGGAUUGGAGUCUGCAACUCGAUUCCAUGAAGUCGGAAUCGCUAGUAAUCGUGGAUCAGAAUGCCACGGUGAAUACGUUCCCGGGCCUUGUACACACCGCCCGUCACACCAUGGGAGUGGGUUGCAAAAGAAGUAGGUAGCUUAACCUUCGGGAGGGCGCUUACCACUUUGUGAUUCAUGACUGGGGUGAAGUCGUAACAAGGUAACCGUAGGGGAACCUGCGGUUGGAUCACCUCCUUACCUUAAAGAAGC